rnacentral:rRNA from 1 species
GAUGAACGCUGGCGGCGUGCCUAAUACAUGCAAGUCGAGCGAACAGACGAGGAGCUUGCUCCUUUGACGUUAGCGGCGGACGGGUGAGUAACACGUGGUUAACCUACCUAUAAGACUGGGAUAACUUCGGGAAACCGGAUCUAAUACCGGAUAAUAUUUCGAACCGCAUGGUUCGAUAGUGAAAGAUGGCUUUUCUUUCACUUAUAGAUGGACCUGCGCCGUAUUAGCUAGUUGGUAAGGUAACGGCUUACCAAGGCAACGAUACGUAGCCGACCUGAGAGGGUGAUCGGCCACACGGGAACUGAGAAACGGUCCAGACUCCUACGGGAGGCAGCAGUAGGGAAUCUUACGCGAUGGGCGAAAGCGUGACGGAGCAACGCCGCGUGAGUGAUGAAGGUCUUCGGAUCGGAAAACUCUGUUAUUAGGGAAGAACAAAAGUGUAAGUAACUGUGAACGUCUUGACGGUACCUAAUCAGAAAGCCACGGCUAACUACGUG